rnacentral:lncRNA from 1 species
GCGUCAACACACCCCUCACAUGAAAUAUAUCUAAUCGAAUUUAAUUGUCUCAAGAUCAGGUGAUUAGCCUUGUCCAUUAUUUUAAUGACUCCACUUAAUAUUAGAUCUUAAAGAAUACAGUAAUUUGACUUUUGGAAGGCAACUGUUAGGAUCGGGAAUUCGGGUAGUACGGUAUUUAGCCAAAUAAUGUUAUAAUGAUUAUAACAAAGUAACAGUAAUUAAAGCAGAUAAAGAAUGCACAAAUUUAACGUGGUUCGGUCAAUGAGACCUACAUUCACAAGCGGAGAGAAGCAAUUUUACUAUACCAACAAAAGUAUAAAAGAGAGUACAAAAUUAGCGUAAAUACUCUAGCUAGUCCCAAAUACCCCAAGAGAAUAACUUCACAAGAUCACUCCAAAGAAAGGGUUCACACAAGUGUUUACCAACACUCAAAACUCUUAUAAAAUUCUCUUAAUAAAUAAAGGAUGAGAAGAAAGACGAGUGAAAAGC